rnacentral:rRNA from 1 species
AAUAGAUACCCUGGUAGUCCACGCCGUAAACGGUGGGCGCUAGGUGUGGGUUUCCUUCCACGGGAUCCGUGCCGUAGCUAACGCAUUAAGCGCCCCGCCUGGGGAGUACGGCCGCAAGGCUAAAACUCAAAGGAAUUGACGGGGGGCCCGCACAAGCGGCGGAGCAUGUGGAUUAAUUCGAUGCAACGCGAAGAACCUUACCUGGGUUUGACAUAUACCGGAUCGCCUCAGAGAUGGGGUUUCCCUUGUGGUCGGUAUACAGGUGGUGCAUGGCUGUCGUCAGCUCGUGUCGUGAGAUGUUGGGUUAAGUCCCGCAACGAGCGCAACCCUUGUCCUGUGUUGCCAGCAAUUCGGUUGGGGACUCGCAGGAGACUGCCGGGGUCAACUCGGAGGAAGGUGGGGACGACGUCAAGUCAUCAUGCCCCUUAUGUCCAGGGCUUCACACAUGCUACAAUGGCCGGUACAGAGGGCUGCGAUACCGUGAGGUGGAGCGAAUCCCGUUAAAGCCGGUCUCAGUUCGGAUCGGGGUCUGCAACGUCGACCCCGUGAA